UUUGGCUUCAACUGAAUCCAGACACGAGGAUGUAAAACAAAACAUAGACUAUACUCGAUUCAGACCAAAAAAAUCAGAGAGAAAAAUUGGGCCGCUGUGUCAGACACCGCCCUUAUGCGAGAAAAACACGCAGCCAUGGAGAAACAUUGACAAAAACUGGUCACAUGGGCAACGACCCGAUGUAGAUUACUGGCAAUUCCUAAUUAAUAAAUCUGGUUUUGGAUUCUAAUAUAUACUGCAUUCAAAGAUGUAGCAGUUAUGGAAAAUUACAGAAUGGACGAGUGCAG